rnacentral:rRNA from 1 species
UGGGGAAUUUUGGACAAUGGGCGAAAGCCUGAUCCAGCAAUGCCGCGUGCGGGAAGAAGGCCUUCGGGUUGUAAACCGCUUUUGUCAGGGAAGAAAUCUUCUGAGUUAAUACCUCGGGAGGAUGACGGUACCUGAAGAAUAAGCACCGGCUAACUACGUGCCAGCAGCCGCGGUAAUACGUAGGGUGCAAGCGUUAAUCGGAAUUACUGGGCGUAAAGCGUGCGCAGGCGGUUUUGUAAGACAGAGGUGAAAUCCCCGGGCUCAACCUGGGAACUGCCUUUGUGACUGCAAGGCUUGAGUGCGGCAGAGGGGGAUGGAAUUCCGCGUGUAGCAGUGAAAUGCGUAGAUAUGCGGAGGAACACCGAUGGCGAAGGCAAAUCCCCUGGGCCUGCACUGACGCUCAUGCACGAAAGCGUGGGGAGCAAACAGGAUUAGAUACCCCUGGUAGUCCACGCCCUAAAACGAUGUCAACUGGUUGUUGGGAAGGUUCCCUUCUCAGUAACGUAGCUAACGCGUGAAGUUGNCCGCCUGGGGAGUACGGCCGC